rnacentral:lncRNA from 10 species
UAUUUUUCCAGGCUUGGUGGCUCAUGCCUGUAAUCCCAAAACCUUGGGAGGCCAAGGCGGGUGGAUCACCUGAGGUUAAAAGUUUGAGACCAGCCUGGCCGAUAUAAUGAAACCCUGUCAGUAUUAAAAUACAAAAAUUAGCUGGGUGUGACGGUGCAUGCCUGUAAUCCCAGCUACUCAGGAGGCUGAGGCAGGAAAAUCGCUUGAACCCGGGAGGCGGAGGUUGCAGUGAGCUGAGAU